rfam:Triticum aestivum genome assembly, contig: Triticum_aestivum_CS42_TGACv1_scaffold_193950_3AL
CAAGUACUCUCUCCGUCCGGAAAUACUUGUCAUCAAAAUGAAUAAAAGGGAUGUAUGUUCUAGAUACAUCCCUUUUAUUCAUUUUGAUGACAAGUAUUUCUGGACGGAGGGAGUAUUCC